CCUACGGGAGGCAGCAGUGGGGGAUAUUGCACAAUGGGGGAAACCCUGAUGCAGCGACGCCGCGUGUGGGAAGACGGUCUUCUGGAUUGUAAACCACUGUCCCCAGGGACGAAAAUGACGCUACCUGGGGAGGAAGCUCCGGCUAACUACGUGCCAGCAGCCGCGGUAAUACGUAGGGAGCAAGCGUUGUCCGGAAUUACUGGGUGUAAAGGGAGCGUAUGCGGGGAUGCAGGUUGGGGGUCAAAACUACCGGCUCAACCGAGAGUCGCACUCAAAACUGCAGCUCUUGAGUGAAGUAGAGGCAGGCGGAAUUCCUGGUGUAGCGGUGAAAUGCGUAGAUAUUAGGAGGAACACCAGUGGCGAAGGCGGCCUGCUGGGCUUUUACUGACGCUGAGGCUCGAAAGUGUGGGGAGCAAACAGGAUUAGAUACCCUUGUAGUC
rnacentral:rRNA from 1 species